GAUGAACGCUGGCGGCGUGCCUAAUACAUGCAAGUCGAGCGAACGGACGAGAAGCUUGCUUCUCUGAUGUUAGCGGCGGACGGGUGAGUAACACGUGGAUAACCUACCUAUAAGACUGGGAUAACUUCGGGAAACCGGAGCUAAUACCGGAUGAUAUUUUGAACCGCAUGGUUCAAAAGUGGAAGACGGUCUUGCUGUCACUUAUAGAUGGAUCCGCGCUACAUUAGCUAGUUGGUAAGGUAACGGCUUACCAAGGCAACGAUGCAUAGCCGACCUGAGAGGGUGAUUGGCAACACUGGAACUGAGACACGGUCCAGACACCUACGGGAGGCAGCAGUAGGGAAUCUGCCGCAAUGGGCGAAAGCCUGACGGAGCAACGUCGCGUGAGUGAUGAAGGUCUUCGGAUCGUAAAACUCUGUUAGUAGGGAAGAACAUAUGUGUAAGUAACUGUGCACAUCUUGACGGUACCUAAUCAGAAAGCCACGGCUAACUACGUG
rnacentral:rRNA from 1 species